GACGAACGCUGGCGGCGUGCUUAACACAUGCAAGUCGAACGGAAAGGCCCUGCUUUUGUGGGGUGCUCGAGUGGCGAACGGGUGAGUAACACGUGAGUAACCUGCCCUUGACUUUGGGAUAACUUCAGGAAACUGGGGCUAAUACCGGAUAGGAGCUCCUGCUGCAUGGUGGGGGUUGGAAAGUUUCGGCGGUUGGGGAUGGACUCGCGGCUUAUCAGCUUGUUGGUGGGGUAGUGGCUUACCAAGGGUUCGACGGGUAGCCGGCCUGGGAGGGUGAACGGCCACAUGGGGACUGAGAUACGGCGCAGACGGCUACGGGAGGCAGAAGUGGGGAAUAUUGCGCAAUGGGCGGAAGCCUGAGGCAGAGACGCCGCGUGCGGGAUGACGGCCUUCGGGGUGUAAACCGCUGUCGCCUGUGACGAAGCGGUAGUGACGGUAAUGGAUAAAGAAGCACCGGCUAACUACGUG
rnacentral:rRNA from 1 species